UGGUUCUCUUAAUUUUUUUCAUUGCUGGUGUUGCUGCUUGGAAAAUGACAAAAUCCUGCAAGAGCAUUUUCACAAAGUCUCACACUGCAGAGGCCCCACAGACUGUAACGGACCAAAAUGUGCUUUACAGUGAUAUUGUUUUCUCCCAGAAGCCC